AACGGAGGGCGGAAGCGUUGUUCGGAAUCACUGGGCGUAAAGCGCGUGCAGGCGGCUUGGUAAGUCGGGUGUGAAAUCCAGGAGCUCAAGUCCGGAACUGCACCCGAUACUGCCUCGCUAGAGUCCCGGAGAGGAUGGCGGAAUUUCCGGUGUAGAGGUGAAAUUCGUAGAUAUCGGAAGGAACACCAGCGGCGAAGGCGGCCAUCUGGACGGUGACUGACGAUCAGACGCGAAAGCGCGGGGAGCAAACAGG
rnacentral:rRNA from 1 species